GGCCUGGGUGAGACCUAAGGAACAUCUUUGUAUCUCCAGCUGGAGCAGCUGAGUUUUCCUCCUGCAGUGUGUCUGCAAGUCCGGCCCUUCCUUCAGCUCCCUCCUUGUUUGCUCAAGGCUGGGGCUGCCCAGCGGGGCAUGAAUGAGAGCCUCUCUUCCUGACUGCCUGCUGCUCCCCCUCCUUCUCCCACCUCCUUCCGAAACCUCCUCUCUCCUCCCAGCUCAGCCCCUCUUGCCUGUGCUCCUGAGCUCUGCCCCUCCGGCUGGAGCCGCAGGUUUAUCUGGAGGCAAGGAGUCUCUCCUUUGUAAGCUCAGACCCAGGAGGAGGAGGAGGGAUCUGCUUGGACCCUGAAGGAGAAACAGUUUAGCGACCCAGGAGGAACGAAGCGAGGCAGAGCCUGGGCACCAUGGCUGGAUUCUCCGCUCUUGGGCUUCUUUUCCUAUGUCAGCUAUUAGCCACAACGUCAGCUCAGAGAGUAGGACCACAAGGCCCUCCUGGACCACGAGGACCCCCUGGACCGUCUGGCAAGGACGGCAUAGACGGAGAGCCGGGCCCUCCUGGUUUGCCAGGCCCACCAGGGCCAAAAGGUGCACCAGGGAAGCCUGGAGCAGCUGGUGAAGCUGGAUUGCCUGGCCUUCCUGGAGUGGAUGUGAGUAUUUUGUCAUCUUCUCUUACAUCUUUUAAAUAGUUCACAGAGGCAUGGGUGUUUUCCUGAAGCACCUCACCAACUUUCU
rnacentral:lncRNA from 1 species